CUCAUAAACACCCUCACGACCCAAUGGCAGCACGCUAACAACUCAUUUCAAGAUGAAAUUUUUCCCACAACAUUUAAGGAGACAGAAGCAGUCACAAGUGACACGAUUUGCAUCCUAUAUGACUUUCAAAGGCUGCCAUGCUAACAUCAUAUAAAAUCAAUAUUAAUGGGCUUUGUGGAAAGACACAUGAAGCCUAGAUGAAAAAAAAGUUCUUUUGUAAUAACCCUAAACUAGUUCUUUUCAUCUCUAAAUCUUUCCCACUUCUCCUUUUCCUCCUUCUUUCUCUUCCUUCUUCCUUUCUUCCUCCGUCCCUCUCUUUGUUUCUCUCUCCCCCACUCCCCUCCUCUCUCUCCUAAUGUGAAUCCAUUCUUUCAGCUAGUCAGUCAUUCAGUUAUUCAACAAGAACGUACUGAGCACUUUCUCUACAGUGGACACUGCACCAGGCCCUCGAGACGAAAGAGUGAGAAGGCAGAAACGAUCCCGUCACUGGGAAGCUCACACUGCAGAGGAGGGACCCACCGUCAGGACCAGGCACCUUUCAGCCAGUAGACAUGGUCUAGUGGAGAAGGCCCGUGAGGAGGGGCCCAGCAUCCCAAGUUCCCUUUCUGCUCCGCUGGUCUCCAGCUGGCUCACUUUGACCUCGUUCCCAGUCCCUCUGUGCCACAACUGUCUCACCUACAAAAUGAAGGAGAUUGGUCCAGGUAAUACUGAGAGUCCCUUUUUAGUCUCUGCCUCAUGGAGAUACUCAUGCUCCAUAACCCAGGACACGUUAAAUAAGCAGAGGGGUACCUGGUUCAAGAGGGAGGCACAGGUGGAGGUAAGGGGAGAGUGAGACGAAAUAGGAGACGAAUUAUAUCACAAGUUCAACAGACAAAAUGAAUUUGGUAAAUAUUUGUCCAGGUAAGAUAACAGCUCAUGCCUUGAACACAUUAUCCCUCUGGGGGGUCAGCUAACCACAUCCGUCCAUCACCAAGCAGUUUAAACUCUGUUCCUUUCACAGC